rnacentral:rRNA from 1 species
CUGGCGGCGUGCCUAAUACAUGCAAGUCGAACGCACAGCGAAAGGUGCUUGCACCUUUCAAGUGAGUGGCGAACGGGUGAGUAACACGUGGACAACCUGCCUCAAGGCUGGGGAUAACAUUUGGAAACAGAUGCUAAUACCGAAUAAAACUUAGUGUCGCAUGACACAAAGUUAAAAGGCGCUUCGGCGUCACCUAGAGAUGGAUCCGCGGUGCAUUAGUUAGUUGGUGGGGUAAAGGCCUACCAAGACAAUGAUGCAUAGCCGAGUUGAGAGACUGAUCGGCCACAUUGGGACUGAGACACGGCCCAAACUCCUACGGGAGGCUGCAGUAGGGAAUCUUCCACAAUGGGCGAAAGCCUGAUGGAGCAACGCCGCGUGUGUGAUGAAGGCUUUCGGGUCGUAAAGCACUGUUGUAUGGGAAGAACAGCUAGAAUAGGAAAUGAUUUUAGUUUGACGGUACCAUACCAGAAAGGGACGGCUAAAUACGUGCCAGCAGCCGCGGUAAUACGUAUGUCCCGAGCGUUAUCCGGAUUUAUUGGGCGUAAAGCGAGCGCAGACGGUUUAUUAAGUCUGAUGUGAAAGCCCGGAGCUCAACUCCGGAAUGGCAUUGGAAACUGGUUGACUUGAGUGCAGUAGAGGUAAGUGGAACUCCAUGUGUAGCGGUGGAAUGCGUAGAUAUAUGGAAGAACACCAGUGGCGAAGGCGGCUUACUGGACUGCAACUGACGUUGAGGCUCGAAAGUGUGGGUAGCAAACAGGAUUAGAUACCCUGGUAGUCCACACCGUAAACGAUGAACACUAGGUGUUAGGAGGUUUCCGCCUCUUAGUGCCGAAGCUAACGCAUUAAGUGUUCCGCCUGGGGAGUACGACCGCAAGGUUGAAACUCAAAGGAAUUGACGGGGACCCGCACAAGCGGUGGAGCAUGUGGUUUAAUUCGAAGCAACGCGAAGAACCUUACCAGGUCUUGACAUCCUUUGAAGCUUUUAGAGAUAGAAGUGUUCUCUUCGGAGACAAAGUGACAGGUGGUGCAUGGUCGUCGUCAGCUCGUGUCGUGAGAUGUUGGGUUAAGUCCCGCAACGAGCGCAACCCUUAUUGUUAGUUGCCAGCAUUCAGAUGGGCACUCUAGCGAGACUGCCGGUGACAAACCGGAGGAAGGCGGGGACGACGUCAGAUCAUCAUGCCCCUUAUGACCUGGGCUACACACGUGCUACAAUGGCGUAUACAACGAGUUGCCAACCCGCGAGGGUGAGCUAAUCUCUUAAAGUACGUCUCAGUUCGGAUUGUAGUCUGCAACUCGACUACAUGAAGUCGGAAUCGCUAGUAAUCGCGGAUCAGCACGCCGCGGUGAAUACGUUCCCGGGUCUUGUACACACCGCCCGUCACACCAUGGGAGUUUGUAAUGCCCAAAGCCGGUGGCCUAACCUUUUAGGAAGGAGCCGUCUAAGGCAGGACAGAUGACUGG